ACAGAUCGUUCAGAGUUUGAUCCUGGCUCAGGACGAACGCUGGCGGCGUGCCUAACACAUGCAAGUCGAACGAAGCAUUUAAGUGGAUCCCUUCGGGGUGAAGGUUAUAUGACUUAGUGGCGGACGGGUGAGUAACGCGUGAGUAACCUGCCUUUCAGAGGGGGAUAACAGUUGGAAACGACUGCUAAUACCGCAUAACGUACAUUUAAGGCAUCUUAGAUGUACCAAAGCUGAGGCGCUGAAAGAUGGACUCGCGUCUGAUUAGAUAGUUGGUGAGGUAACGGCUCACCAAGUCGACGAUCAGUAGCCGGACUGAGAGGUUGAACGGCCACAUUGGGACUGAGACACGGCCCAG
rnacentral:rRNA from 1 species